rnacentral:misc_RNA from 1 species
GAUGAAGAACGUAGCGAAAUGCGAUAAGUAAUGCGAAUUGCAGAAUUUCCGUGAGUCAUCGAAUCUUUGAACGCACAUUGCGCCCCCUGGUAUUCCGGGGGGCAUGCCUGUUCGAGCGUCAUUACAACCCUCAAGCUCUGCUUGGUAUUGGGCCCCGCCAGUUCUGGCGGGCCCUAAAGUCAGUGGCGGUGCCUUCCGGCUCCGAGCGUAGUAAUUCUUCUCGCUCUGGAGACCCGGUUGUGUGCUUGCCAACAACCCCCAAUUUUUUAAGGUUGACCUCGGAUCAGGUAGGGAUACCCGCUGAACUUAAGCAUAUCAAUAAGCGGAGGA